ACUGCUAUCGGGGUGGGACUAAGACAUGCGAGUCGAGCGUCUCUAGCUAUGUUGAGACGCGGCAUACGGCUCAGUAACACGUGGCUAACCUACCCUCAGGACGGGGACAAACCCGGGAAACUGGGGCUAAUAUCCGAUAGGCGAGGAAUCCUGGAAUGGUUCUUCACCCAAUGGACAUUGGAAACAUGCUUUCUCUGUCGCCUGGGGAUGGGGCCGCGACCGAUCAGGUUGUUGGUGAGGUAAUGGCUCACCAAGCCUAUAACCGGUACGGGCCGUGAGAGCGGUAGCCCGGAGAUGGGUACUGAGACAAGGACCCAGGCCCUACGGGGCGCAGCAGUCGCGAAAACUCCGCAAUGCACGAAAGUGUGACGGGGCUACCCCGAGUGCCGUCCGCUGAGGAUGGCUUUUCCUUGGUGUAACUAGCCGGGGGAAUAAGGAGAGGGCAAGACUGGUGUCAGCCGCCGCGGUAAUACCAGCUCUCCGAGUGGUAGGGAUGAUUAUUAGGCUUAAAGCGUCCGUAGCCGGCUUAGCAAGUCUCCUGUUAAAUUCAGCGACCUAAUCGUUGACCCGUGGGAGAUACUACUAGGCUAGGAGGCGGGAGAGGUCGACGGUACUUCUGGGGUAGGGGUGAAAUCCUAUAAUCCCGGAAGGACCACCAGUGGCGAAGGCUGUCGACUAGAACGCGCUCGACGGUGAGGGACGAAAGCUGGGGGAGCGAACCGGAUUAGAUACCCGGGUAGUCCCAGCUGUAAACGAUGCGGGCUAGGUGUUGGGGUGGCUACGUGCCACUUCAGUGCCGCAGGGAAGCCAUUAAGCCCGCCGCCUGGGGAGUACGGCCGCAAGGCUGAAACUUAAAGGAAUUGGCGGGGGAGCACCCACAAGGCGUGAAG
rnacentral:rRNA from 1 species